rnacentral:lncRNA from 1 species
AGAAGUUAACGUUCAGGCGAUUCAAAUUCAUUUAACGUAAAAGAGUAGAAAGAAAUACCCUUGUUUAUAUGAGAAUCAUAAAAUAAUGCCUUAAAACUUUAACCUUCAAAAGAUAAAAGUACAUAAAAAAAUCUGUAAAAAGAGGUUGGUUGUUUAAAGACUAUAAAUAAAAAAGAAGCAGAAAAUCUCGAGAUACGACAGUGUCCUAUAAGGAAUAAAUAUAGAUGAAAUAAAUAAAGAGAAAUUUAAAGAGAAAUGCACGUGUAAAAAAGAAUAAAAUGUUGGUUGAUUGUGAAAGUUUUUAAUGGUUCUAUAGCGAUUACGAUAAAAUGUUGAGUAAAACAUAUGUUUUAAGGUUCCCGUAUGUAAGAAUUUAAUGUAGUUUAAUCAUAAGAAUUAGAUGUCAGGAUCAGACCUAAUUAAGUGCUAAAUGUGUUGACCUAGCUAGUCAUCAUGUAAAACCUUGAUUAUAGCAAACAUAAUGUAUUCUAGCAUAAGCAAAUCAUUAACCAUAAUGUAAAAUCUUAACUGUAAUCAAAUGUUUUAGAAAACUAUCCAUUGUAAAACAAACAACAAAUCCGACUAAAGAAAUAUAAAAGAAAAUGAGGGUAUGACUUGCGGUAGUUCUGGAGUCGGAGCAAAGUACCCAGGAAAAUGAGCAUACUCCAGAGAGAGGAAAUGACUCGGGUAUAUUUGGAGUUCGAGCAGACUACCAAGAAAAGCGGGCUUACCACAUAUAUGAAAAUAGAGAAACGAUAAUAAUAAUGAUAAUAAAAAAAAAACCACCAACGCUCUUACUAUAAAGAUGAAGAGAUCGAAAAAUGUAAAAUAUUAAAGAAUAAAAUUGUUUUAUUAAUAAGAAAAAUAAGAAUAAGAAUAUCUAAAACGCAAUAAGUCAUCUUGGUCAUAACAACUUGAAUAACCAAAACAUCUAAUAUAAACUGAUCAUAAGCCACAAAGUCAAAUAGUCAAAUCCAGUUAAGAGAAUAUUUAAAAAAAAAGUUUUUUAAAAUUUAAACAAGUUUUAAAAGAAAUAAAUUCGAAUGUAAAAUUGCGGAGCAAUUUCUUCGAACAACAGGGAUAUAUAAUGAAGGUAAAAUGAGGUAAAAUAUUACAAGAAAUAAAUUUUAAUAUUUCAUAUAAAACUAAGUGAAUCUUCUUUGUAAUUGUAGAAAAUAACUAAUUCUUGUAUAAAGCUUUUUGUAUAAAAAGAUAUAAUUAGAAAGUCUAUAAUGUUAUGUAACUUUUAAUAUAUAAGUAUUAGAUGAUCAUGUGAAAUUCUUCCUAUUUGACACUUAGCGAUAUAAAUAAGGUUUGACAGCUUAAACUCUUAGAAGUAUUUCCUUUAGCAAAUAUAUCUAAUUCUUUUCUAUUGUUCACCUAGAAUUCUAUCUAACCAAAUAAUCGGAUUUCCCUAAUGGUCGUAAAAACAAAGUAUUAAGUAAUUAAAAAUAGUAACCCCAAAUUAUGUAAAAAUGUAAAUUAGAUUUAAAAGAGAUCUAACCAAUAGAAACGUGUUUUUAUAAAAAUAUGUAUUCUAAAAGUCAUUUUGAUUGGUGAAUAAAACAAGUCCAACCAGCACGUGUUCUUAGGGGUUUAAAAUAGGAAACCCUAAGGAAUCAAACAUUAAUUUACUCGUAUGGUUGGACUCGAAAUAAACAUAUAUAGACAUCUUUGUUUUAUUCACCAGGUUCGUAAACUUACAAAUUUUAUUUAAUGAAAAACAUAACGUAACCUUAAUAAUCUUUUAAUGUAACAGUUUAUAACAGAAAUCUUUCUUAAUUAAAGUUACCAUACAUAUAAUGAUAAACUAUUUUAAUUAAUUGAUAAAGUAUUUUGAUAAUUAUUAAUUCAAGUUCAUUUUAAGAAUCAAACUCUUUUAUUUCAUAUUUAUGUAUUUGAUUAAUUUACUCGUAUGGUUGGACUCGAAAUAAACAUAUAUAGACAUCUUUGUUUUAUUCACCAGGAAGCCUCGAAAGAACAUGAACGACAGUCCCCAAACUGUUGUAGUUUAAAAUAGGAGAAGAAACAUGUAAAACAGAAAAACCACAACAAUCUUUAACCCUUCAACGGAAAGGGGAGGCAACUGCCUUAGUCUGCGCUUUCCCCUCUUUCCCGCACAACAGAAAUGGUGGAGGCAAGUGGAAAGAUCCACGGUACCCGUAAAGCGAGUAGUUUCCCGAAGAAUAGUGUAUUUGAAAUUCGAAAAGAAAAUAAGUGUGUUAAAUAUAUUCUAUAGGAGAAAGUAGAAAAGAACGGAGAAAGGAGAAUAGGAGAAAGGAACAGGAGAAAGGAGAACAAAGAACGGAGAAGGAGAAUCGAAAAAGAAAAUGGAGAAAGGAACAAGAGAAUGGAAAAGGAGCAUGCAGAACGGAGAAAGGAAAAAGAAGUACGCAGAAUGGAGAACGUAGAAAUGUGGAACAUUGCGGAGCUUAAUUUGGACACUGAUUCUGAACAGUGGGAUUUAAAAUGGACUAUAUUGUUUCACUCUUUGUGUAUAUAUUGUAUAUAUGUUCUAUUGUUAAAAAAAUGGUUCUUUAAAUAGCAAGUAAGUUAAAGAUCAUGUUAAAAUAAAAGAAAUAGGGAAAAAAGUUUAAAAUAAAAGUUAAAAUAGAUUAAAUAAUGAGUAGGAAAAAAAAAGAUAAGAUAAGAUAUAAAUAAUAAGUUAAAGUAAAAAAAAAUCUAUGUAGGAAUUAGGUUAAAUUGAAAAUGAGUCAUUGAUAAACUAAAUUUGAAAAAGAAAUGUCUAAAUUGAGAUAAACGGAAUAUGACUUACUAUUUAUUCAAGUGCAAAAAUAUAUAAAAAAAAAUAUUGAUAAAAAAUAUUUAAUUUGGAAGACUGUAAAUGGCAAAUAAGAAACUAAAAUGAUGAUGACUGAUUUAAAAGAAAACAAAGAAAUAUGAGAUGAGAAGUAAAAUAUUUAUAUAUAGUUUACUAAAUAGAAAAUUCAAAAAGUAACAUAGAAAUGUCAUAUCUGAGAAGUUAACGUUCAGGCGAUUCAAAUUCAUUUAACGUAAAAGAGUAGAAAGAAAUACCCUUGUUUAUAUGAGAAUCAUAAAAAUAAUGCUUAAAACUUUAACCUUCAAAGAUAAAAGUACAUAAAAAGAAUCUGUAAAAAGAGGUUGGUUGUUUAAAGAUUUAAAAAAAAGAAGAGAAAAUGUCGAGAUACGACAGUGUCCUAUAAGGAAUAAAUAUAGAUGAAUAAAUAAGCGAAAUUUAAAGAGAAAUGCACGUGUAAAAAAGAAUAAAAUGUUGGUUGAUUAUGAAAGUUUUUAAUGGUUUAAUAGCGAUUACGAUAAAGUGUUGAGAAACAUAUGUUUUAAGGUUCCCGUAUGUAAGAAUUUAAUGUUAGUUUAAUCAUAAGAAUUAGAUGUCAGGAUCAGACCUAAUUUAGUGCUAAAUGUGUUGACCUAGCUAGUCAUCAUGUAAAACCUUGAUUAUAGCGAACAUAAUGUAUUCUAGCAUAAGCAAAUCGUUAACCAUAGUGUAAAAUCUUAACUGUAAUCAAAUGUUUUAGAAAACUAUCCAUUGUACAAACAACAA